GACGAACGCUGGCGGCGCGCUUAACACAUGCAAGUCGAACGGAAAGGCCUGCUUUCCCUUGUGGAUUGCGGGUACUCGAGUGGCGAACGGGUGAGUGACACGUGAGUGAUCUGCCCCCAACUUGGGUAUAAGCCUGGGAAACUGGGUCUAAUUCCCGAUAGGACUGCAGGGUGGUGCCUGUGGUGGAAAACGAUUUUCUAGUGGUUGGGGAUGAGCUCGCGGCCUAUCAGCUUGUUGGUGGGGUAAUGGCCUACCAAGGCGGCGACGGGUAGCCGGCCUGAGAGGGUGGGCCGGCACAUUGGGACUGAGAGACCGCCCCGACUCCUAAGGGAGGCAGGAGGUGGGAAUAUUGGCAAAUGGGCGGAAGCCUGAUGGCGCGACCCCGGGGGGGGGAUGACGGGCUUCGGGUUGUAAACUCCUUUCGACCGCGAGGAAGCCACCUGGUUGGAAGGGUGGUGACGGUAGUGGUAGAAGAAGCACCGGCUAACUACGUG
rnacentral:rRNA from 1 species